GAUGAACGCUAGCGGCAGGCUUAACACAUGCAAGUCGAGGGGCAGCAUGAGGGUUAGCAAUAACUCUUGAUGGCGACCGGCGCAAGGGUGCGUAACGCGUGAGCAACUUGCCCGUUUCUGGGGAAUAACCGGUGGAAACGCCGACUAAUACCCCAUAGCAUUGAUUUCAGGCAUCUGUUAUCAAUUAAAGAAUUUCGGAAACGGAUAGGCUCGCGUGACAUUAGCUAGAUGGCGGGGUAACGGCCCACCAUGGCGACGAUGUCUAGGGGUUCUGAGAGGAAGGUCCCCCACACUGGAACUGAGACACGGUCCAG
rnacentral:rRNA from 1 species